rnacentral:lncRNA from 1 species
GGGGCUCCCAGGCCCGUCUGUCCCUGCGUACUUGUUGCAUAAAAGCAUGUGUCUGGAGGAAUAGGACCUGAAGUUCACUUCCUGGGAAACACCAGCAAGCAUCACAUCUGAUCUGAUGGACAGGACUGGGAAACUGGAUUCUUCUGUGAUUUUCUCAAUGUAACUGAGGAGGGUGCCACACAAUAUGCCCAGAGCCCACACAGCAGUGAAAGCAUCACAGAAGGAGUCAAGAGUCCCUGAGUUUCAGACAGAGGAGUGCUUACCCAGCCUUCGUUGGACUUUGUGGGAGUGAAAAAAGAAACCUGUGUUUUGCUAUACCGUUGAUAUUUGAGGCUGUUUAUGUCAGUGACUAGAAUUAAUUACUUGUACCAAUGCCAGAGUAGUUGGAUUAAUGUGCAUGCCACGUUCUCUACGUUCUACCACAGUUAAUGCAUCAGUUUUUGAAAAUAAUCGCUGUGAAACUAUUGCCUUCACAGUUGCCAAAGC